GGGGGAGUGUCUGAGCGGCUUAAAGUGCCCGACUUAAAAUCGGGUGGCGCCUGCUGUCACAGGUUCCCAUGGGUUCGAAUCCCAUCUCCCCCGCCA
rnacentral:tRNA from 1 species